rnacentral:rRNA from 1 species
UACAGAGGUGGCAAGCGUUGUUCGGAAUUACUGGGCGUAAAGGGCGCGUAGGUGGCCAUCUAAGUCAGACGUGAAAUCCCCCGGCUUAACCUGGGAACUGCGUCUGAUACUGGACGGCUUGAGUAUGGGAGAGGAACGUAGAAUUCCAGGUGUAGCGGUGAAAUGCGUAGAGAUCCGGAAGAACACCAGUGGCGAAGGCGGCCCGCUGGGCAGUGGCUGACGCUGAGGCGCGACAGCGUGGGGAGCAAACAGG